ACAAGGAUCUUGGAAAGAAAUAAUCAGCGAGCAAAGGUGAUGUGCUGGAAUGGAGACUCACGUCUGUCUUCCCACCCUCACCCCUGCUGGAGGCUUUCGGAGCUGCCCCUGCUGCCUAGGAAGCCCUAGGGGAGUUCUCUGGGGAAAGCAUUCAACGUGCACCUCCCGCAGUGUGGAGACCAACACUGACACUAGACUCCCACCUGGGCAGGCGGGAGCAGCCUCAGGUGGUCAUCUGAGGGGAGCUCUUAUGCCAAUGGUUGGGGCAUGACACUGACCUAUCCCACAGCCCAAGAAGAUGCUUCUAGAAGUAGCUGGGAUUGCAUCACAGAGAAGGUCCUGCCAAGAGUCCUGCCUGCCAGGGGAAGCAAUUCUAGCAGAAAGGAGCUUUGGGGUUUCCUGGAACAGAAGCCAUGGGGUGCCACAAUCUAGCACAGGAGCAGAGCUCAGACCUUCCCAGGGAACCACAGGAUCAGAGUGAACACCAGGGAAAGCAGUUGAAGUACCAUUAGUUAACAGAUUGCCCAAUGAAGUCGUUGACAACUGUGAUAAGACAUUUCUCACUAUCACAGCGUCUCCCAGAGACACAGUGUGUGACGUUCCCAAAGCCCAGAUGUCCCUCUGCUCCCCAAUCUUCUUUCCCCAGAAAGAUGUCAACGCUGCAGAGAUUGUGCCAUGAAGACGCCUGGUGUGGCAUCACAAUAGAUGAAAUCUUAAGGGCAAUUCAACAAUUUUCUGAACAAAUAAAUGGAUUUAACCUGAA